rnacentral:rRNA from 1 species
AAAGAAACUAACAAGGAUUCCCCUAGUAACGGCGAGUGAAGAGGGAAGAGCUCAAAUUUUAAAUCUGCCUUGUUCCAAGGUCGAGUUGUAAUUUGAAGAAGCGUUUUCUUGGGCUCGCGGCCGGUAGAAGUUCUUUGGAACAGGACAUCAUAGAGGGUGACAAUCCCGUCCGUGACCGGUCGUGCGUUCAUCUACGAUACGCUUUCAAAGAGUCGAGUUGUUUGGGAUUGCAGCUCCAAACGGGUGGUAAACAUCACCUAAGGCUAAAUAUUGGCGAGAGACCGAUAGCGAACAAGUACCGUGAGGGAAAGAUGAAAAGAACUUUGAAAAGAGAGUUAAACAGUACGUGAAAUUGUUGAAAGGGAAACGAUUGAAGUCAGUCGUGCUGGCGCGAAAUCAACCCUCUCGUCUUGAGAUCACAUGGCGCGACGAGCCUCAAAACCGUCACGAAGCGUGAACUCUUGACGAAAAGGUGCACUUUCGUGUCCGCUGGUUAACAUCAAUUUCGAACGUCAUAAAAAGGCUGGAGGGAUGUGGCUCCUUCGGGAGUGUUAUAACCUUUAGCGGAAUGUGGCGUUCGGGAUUGAGGAUUGCAACGAAUACCUUCAGGGCUGUUCCACCUGGCUUCUCAUUGGUAUCCUGGUGACGACAGCUUGCUGACGUCGUUAGGAUCAGCUUCUGAACAGGCUAGAGUGUGAGCAAAUUCGUUAAGGAUGUUAACGUAAUGGCUUAAAC